GGAACAUGUGACCUCCAUGGUGUUCACUGCUAGACGGUGUGGCAAGGAGGGGUACCUUCUGCGGCGAUCUUUCUUGGGGAACCCUGGGCAACCGUCAUUCAGGUCUCCUACUAAAGCUCCUCCUCGCCACCACGGGUGCACGCCAUGUCUUCCACCCUGACAUUGGCCACUUAUGGAGGUUGAUUGAUUUGGUUGGUUCGAUAGGAUCCCAACCUGAGGAGAAUGAUGGUUUGGAGAUGGCUAGCGGCCUGUGGGGCAUCGACCAG